rnacentral:misc_RNA from 1 species
ACCACAAAGGGCAAUCACAAGCUUACUGACGCUGUCGUUCCUGAAACGAAAGACUGGAGGGAAGAAGGCAUCGUCAGCCCAGUUAAGAAUCAAGGCCAUUGUGGUUCUUGCUGGACUUUCAGCACCACUGGAGCUCUUGAGGCAGCCUAUCACCAGGCUUUUGGAAAGGGAAUCUCUUUGUCUGAGCAGCAGCUUGUGGAUUGUGCUGG